GACGAACGCUGGCGGCGUGCUUAACACAUGCAAGUCGAACGGAAAGGCCCUGCUUUUGUGGGGUGCUCGAGUGGCGAACGGGUGAGUAACACGUGAGUAACCUGCCCUUGACUUUGGGAUAACUUCAGGAAACUGGGGCUAAUACCGGAUAGGAGCUCCUGCUGCAUGGUGGGGGUUGGAAAGUUUCGGCGGUUGGGGAUGGACUCGCGGCUUAUCAGCUUGUUGGUGGGGUAGUGGCUUACCAAGGCUUUGACGGGUAGCCGGCCUGAGAGGGUGACCGGGCACAUUGGGACUGAGAUACGGACCAGACUCGUACGGGAGGCAGAAGUGGGGAAUAUUGCACAAUGGGCGGAAGCCUGAUGCAGCAACGCCGCGUGCGGGAUGACGGCCUUCGGGUUGUAAACCGCUUUCGCCUGUGACGAAGCGUGAGUGACGGUAAUGGGUAAAGAAGCACCGGCUAACUACGUG
rnacentral:rRNA from 1 species